GGGUUGUGAGGUUAAGCGACUAAGCGUACACGGUGGAUGCCCUGGCAGUCAGAGGCGAUGAAGGACGUGCUAAUCUGCGAAAAGCGACGGCGAGGUGAUAUGAACCUUUGACCCGUCGAUGUCCGAAUGGGGAAACCCAGUGUGUUUCGACACACUAUCGUUAACUGAAUACAUAGGUUAACGAGGCGAACCGGGGGAACUGAAACAUCUAAGUACCCCGAGGAAAAGAAAUCAACCGAGAUUCCCCCAGUAGCGGCGAGCGAACGGGGAGCAGCCCGGAGUCUGAAUCAGCUUGUGUGUUAGUGGAAGCGUCUGGAAAGUCGCACGGUACAGGGUGACAGUCCCGUACACGAAAAUGCACAGGUUGUGAACUCGAAGAGUAGGGCGGGACACGUGGUAUCCUGUCUGAAUAUGGGGGGACCAUCCUCCAAGGCUAAAUACUCCUGACUGACCGAUAGUGAACCAGUACCGUGAGGGAAAGGCGAAAAGAACCCCGGCGAGGGGAGUGAAAAAGAACCUGAAACCGUGUACGUACAAGCAGUGGGAGCACCUUCGUGGUGUGACUGCGUACCUUUUGUAUAAUGGGUCAGCGACUUAUAUUCUGUAGCAAGGUUAACCGUAUAGGGGAGCCGCAGGGAAACCGAGUCUUAACUGGGCGUUAAGUUGCAGGGUAUAGACCCGAAACCCGGUGAUCUAGCCAUGGGCAGGUUGAAGGUUGGGUAACACUAACUGGAGGACCGAACCGACUAAUGUUGAAAAAUUAGCGGAUGACCUGUGGCUGGGGGUGAAAGGCCAAUCAAACCGGGAGAUAGCUGGUUCUCCCCGAAAGCUAUUUAGGUAGCGCCUCGUGAACUCAUCUUCGGGGGUAGAGCACUGUUUCGGCUAGGGGGCCAUCCCGGCUUACCAACCCGAUGCAAACUACGAAUACCGAAGAAUGUUAUCACGGGAGACACACGGCGGGUGCUAACGUCCGUCGUGAAGAGGGAAACAACCCAGACCGCCAGCUAAGGUCCCAAAGUCAUGGUUAAGUGGGAAACGAUGUGGGAAGGCACAGACAGCCAGGAUGUUGGCUUAGAAGCAGCCAUCAUUUAAAGAAAGCGUAAUAGCUCACUGGUCGAGUCGGCCUGCGCGGAAGAUGUAACGGGGCUAAACCAUGCACCGAAGCUGCGGCAGCGACGCUUAUGCGUUGUUGGGUAGGGGAGCGUUCUGUAAGCCGUUGAAGGUGGCCUGUGAGGGUUGCUGGAGGUAUCAGAAGUGCGAAUGCUGACAUAAGUAACGAUAAAGCGGGUGAAAAGCCCGCUCGCCGGAAGACCAAGGGUUCCUGUCCAACGUUAAUCGGGGCAGGGUGAGUCGACCCCUAAGGCGAGGCCGAAAGGCGUAGUCGAUGGGAAACAGGUUAAUAUUCCUGUACUUGGUGUUACUGCGAAGGGGGGACGGAGAAGGCUAUGUCAGCCGGGCGACGGUUGUCCCGGUUUAAGCGUGUAGGUGUGUGUUCCAGGCAAAUCCGGUUCACUUUAACACUGAGGCGUGAUGACGAGGCACUACGGUGCUGAAGUGAUAAAUGCCCUGCUUCCAGGAAAAGCCUCUAAGCAUCAGGUAACACGAAAUCGUACCCCAAACCGACACAGGUGGUCAGGUAGAGAAUACCAAGGCGCUUGAGAGAACUCGGGUGAAGGAACUAGGCAAAAUGGUGCCGUAACUUCGGGAGAAGGCACGCUGAUAUGUAGGUGAAGUCCCUGCGGACGGAGCUGAAAUCAGUCGAAGAUACCAGCUGGCUGCAACUGUUUAUUAAAAACACAGCACUGUGCAAACACGAAAGUGGACGUAUACGGUGUGACGCCUGCCCGGUGCCGGAAGGUUAAUUGAUGGGGUUAGCGGCAACGCGAAGCUCUUGAUCGAAGCCCCGGUAAACGGCGGCCGUAACUAUAACGGUCCUAAGGUAGCGAAAUUCCUUGUCGGGUAAGUUCCGACCUGCACGAAUGGCGUAAUGAUGGCCAGGCUGUCUCCACCCGAGACUCAGUGAAAUUGAACUCGCUGUGAAGAUGCAGUGUACCCGCGGCAAGACGGAAAGACCCCGUGAACCUUUACUAUAGCUUGACACUGAACACUGGUCCUUGAUGUGUAGGAUAGGUGGGAGGCUUUGAAGCGUGGACGCCAGUCUGCGUGGAGCCGUCCUUGAAAUACCACCCUUUAAUGGCUGGUGUUCUAACGUGGACCCGUAAUCCGGGUUGCGGACAGUGUCUGGUGGGUAGUUUGACUGGGGCGGUCUCCUCCCAAAGAGUAACGGAGGAGCACGAAGGUUAGCUAAUCCUGGUCGGACAUCAGGAGGUUAGUGCAAUGGCAUAAGCUAGCUUGACUGCGAGAGUGACGGCUCGAGCAGGUGCGAAAGCAGGUCAUAGUGAUCCGGUGGUUCUGAAUGGAAGGGCCAUCGCUCAACGGAUAAAAGGUACUCCGGGGAUAACAGGCUGAUACCGCCCAAGAGUUCAUAUCGACGGCGGUGUUUGGCACCUCGAUGUCGGCUCAUCACAUCCUGGGGCUGAAGUAGGUCCCAAGGGUAUGGCUGUUCGCCAUUUAAAGUGGUACGCGAGCUGGGUUUAGAACGUCGUGAGACAGUUCGGUCCCUAUCUGCCGUGGGCGCUGGAGAAUUGAGGGGGGCUGCUCCUAGUACGAGAGGACCGGAGUGGACGCAUCACUGGUGUUCGGGUUGUCAUGCCAAUGGCACUGCCCGGUAGCUAAAUGCGGAAGAGAUAAGUGCUGAAAGCAUCUAAGCACGAAACUUGCCCCGAGAUGAGUUCUCCCUGAGACUUUAAGUCUCCUGAAGGAACGUUGAAGACGACGACGUUGAUAGGCCGGGUGUGUAAGCGCAGCGAUGCGUUGAGCUAACCGGUACUAAUGAACCGUGAGGCUUAACCUUACAACGCCGAAGCUGUU
rnacentral:rRNA from 1 species